GUUUACGGUAGUUAUAGUGUUGAUCCUCGCAAGUACUAGGAAGCAGCAAUUGACAGAGGUACCCGGUCGGGGUCCCAGGCGAUCCGUCACAACACAUAUAUGUUUAAAUGUGCUGUUCACUUACCUUUUUUCUGCAGGAGGAUCUUCAGUGGUGCUGACUGAGGUUGAUGUGCUGCUCAGUCCCCGCUUCUCCCUCUCUCCCUCCAGCUGUCAUUUCCUCCCAGCAUCCCAUACAACAGGGGUCCGGUCGCGGUCUUAGAUGACUGCGGCGCCUGACCAGUCCCCUGUUUAGCAAUACCCUUCAGGUGACCCUAAAUGCUUGUGCCACCCGACGGGCAAAUCUCAGCAGAGCCCCAAUUUUGUUCUUGCGGAACCAUAGGGCUCCGCGGAACACCAAUUGGGAAACGCUGUUCUAC